CAGCUGCUAGGAGGAAAAUUAACUCUAUCCUAGCCGAAACCAGCACACCCACAUUUUCAGAUGUAUGGCCUGUCACUCAUACAUAUUUCACUUGAGAUGGAGGCCUGCUGAAUUUCGAAAUAUCUUUAGAAAUCUAUCUGAUAAUGGUUACUUUUCAAUUUAGCAAAGUAGUUAAACUGCUAUUACCUUCAUAACCCUUGUGGAAGGUUCAUGCCAUAUAGAAGCGUUAGAUCAGAAUUAGAAUACAUC